UCUUCAGAUGCAAUGAUCUCCUUUUACAAAUGAGAAAACUGUUUUCUCAUUUGUAAAAGGAGAUCAUUGCAUCUGAAGA
rnacentral:miRNA from 1 species